rnacentral:rRNA from 1 species
ACGGAAGGCAGCAGUGGGGGAUAUUGCACAAUGGGGGAAACCCUGAUGCAGCGACGCCGCGUGAGCGAAGAAGUAUUUCGGUAUGUAAAGCUCUAUCAGCAGGGAAGAAAAUGACGGUACCUGACUAAGAAGCACCGGCUAAAUACGUGCCAGCAGCCGCGGUAAUACGUAUGGUGCAAGCGUUAUCCGGAUUUACUGGGUGUAAAGGGUGCGUAGGCAGCAUGGCAAGUCAGAUGUGAAAGACCGGGGCUCAACUCCGGGGCUGCAUUUGAAACUGCCAGGCUGGAGUACAGGAGAGGCGGCGGAAUUCCUAGUGUAGCGGUGAAAUGCGUAGAUAUUAGGAGGAACACCAGUGGCGAAGGCGGCCUGCUGGACUGUUACUGACGCUGAGGCACGAAAGCGUGGGGAGCAAACAGGAUUAGAUACCCUGGUA